CCGAUUCAGUUGCAGUAAAAGCCACAACAAACUCGAUUUUUACUCUUUUAUGUUACUUCUUUUAUGGUUCCACUUUGACAACACGUCCAGUGGUUCCGAGGUCUAUGGUUCGAAUUACAAUCUCCAUGGAUAUAGUUUUGAUAUCUGGCAAACACUAUUGAAAGCCUUAGCAACGAGAUGAAUUAGAAACACAAGUUCGGAGACAAUUGUUACGACAAGAAUGGCCGUCAUUUUCACAAUCGUGGGCAUCAUCACUUUCAGCCUUUUUGUUGUUGGCUUGUGUGAUCAAGUUUGUUUCGAUACUUAUUGUUAUACUCUAACAUCUUCAACCAUAAAUCGAACUACACUAGCGGAAUGUGCUUGUAGCUUCCAACUUCCUUCUGCCGUUAAAGACCUCACUCAUGUGACUGAAAUCGAUCAGGAGAAUUGUACCAGCGUGUUUAGUAACCCCGAGGGGUCCCGGAACGUUGUCGUGAACCCCAAGGGCAAGUAUUGCUCAACUCACAUGUCCAUCCUACCAAACCGACCCUGCUGUCGUGUAUGAUGAUGCCCUUUCAAGCAGUUACUCCUCACUCCGGGCUUUGAAAGAGGAAUGCAAUUUACCUAAUGAUAAUUGGUUAACAUCCAAGAGAAUUAGCACAUUCAUCUGGGAUUUUGGCGCUCUCCGAACGAUGACAAGGGUGGAAUUUCGAAAUUACCAUUAUUCUUCAAGACAUGUCAUUGACUUCGAAGUAUCAGUAUCACGAUAUUCUGGAAUAAGCGUAACUUGGACCAAUGUUCUUCGGGUUGAGAAUCUGGAAAAGCCAGCCACUAAUUGUGAACCAAUUCGACACUACAGCUUUAAACCCAUCAUUGGAAGACAAAUUAGAUUUACAGCGUCGAGGGCCUUUUCAUUCGGAGCCGCAAUGAAUUUCUUCAGAGUAUACUAAGUAACCAGGACCCUGAAGUCAUUUGGCGUGAUUCCCCGAGUCAGUCAAUCCACUAGCUAGAUAGUACUGAUGGAAAAUCCCAAUCGAACAACCACACAAGCCUAUCUAAUCUUAGAUUGGCCCAAUGUUGGUACUGACAAUCGCAAGGCGGACAACAAACUGACCAAUCUAAGGAGUAAACAUCGGAAAUUACGACAAGAGUUUAGACACUUGUUAUAAUAAACUGUUCACAACGCUC